AUUAGUUAGGAGCUAGAAUUGUUCCUCUGAUGAGUCCAUGGGAGGACGAAACCAAU
rnacentral:hammerhead_ribozyme from 11 species